AUUGAACGCUGGCGGCAUGCCUUACACAUGCAAGUCGAACGGCAGCACGGGUGCUUGCACCUGGUGGCGGGUGGCGAACGGGUGAGUAAUACAUCGGAACGUACCUUAUCGUGGGGGAUAACGCAGCGAAAGCUGUGCUAAUACCGCAUGCGCCCUGAGGGGGAAAGCGGGGGAUCGCAAGACCUCGCGCGAUUAGAGCGGCCGAUGCCUGAUUAGCUAGUUGGUGGGGUAAAAGCCCACCAAGGCGACGAUCAGUAGCUGGUCUGAGAGGACGAUCAGCCACACUGGGACUGAGACACGGCCCAGACUCCUACGGGAGGCAGCAGUGGGGAAUUUUGGACAAGGGGGGGAACCCUGAUCCAGCAAUGCCGCGUGAGUGAAGAAGGCCUUCGGGUUGUAAAGCUCUUUUGUCAGGGAAGAAACACCGGCUCUAACACAGUCCGGGAAUGACGGUACCUGAAGAAUAAGCACCGGCUAACUACGUGCCAGCCGCCGCCGUAA
rnacentral:rRNA from 1 species